UUAUAUUUUAAAGUUUAUUAUUUUUUAUAUCAAUCUCAAUUUUUGUAAAAAGAUUUUAUUUUGUGUAGCCAAAGGGAAUGAUACCCUCACAAAGGAGAGCAACAAAUGUUGAAAUCCAUUCUUCUGGAUCAAGAGCUAAAUUUGUUAUUUGAUUUUAAACAAAAAAUAUUUAUAUAUUUAGUAAAUUUCUCAAUAUAAAUAUAGGGUCUACACAAAAAUUAUUGAGUUCUCGAGAACUCACACAUGACAUCUUAGAUCCGUCACGUACAAACGACUAUGGAGGUGGGUGAAGUUCUUUUAGUUGUCUGAUUAAAAAUAAUAAAAUUCCUAAGAAAAAAUCUUAAA
rnacentral:lncRNA from 1 species